AGUGAAUAGAUACCCAGGUAGUCCUAGCCGUAAACGAUACUCGCUAGGUGUCGGCCACGGUGCGACCGUUGUCGGUGCCGUAGGGAAAGCCGUGAAGCGAGCCACCUGGGAAGUACGGCCGCAAGGCUGAAACUUAAAGGAAUUGGCGGGGGAGCACCACAACGGGUGGAGCUUGCGGUUUAAAUUGGAUUCAACGCCGGAAAUCUUACCGGGACCGACAGCAAUAUGAAGGCCAGGCUGAAGACUUUGCCGGAUUAGCUGAGAGGUGGUGCAUGGCCGUCGUCAGUUCGUACUGUGAAGCAUCCUGUUAAGUCAGGCAACGAGCGAGACCCACGCCCACAGUUGCCAGCGUACUCUCUGGAGUGACGGGUACACUGUGGGGACCGCCGCUGCUAAAGCGGAGGAAGGAAUGGGCAACGGUAGGUCAGUAUGCCCCGAAUAUCCCGGGCUACACGCGAGCUACAAUGGUUGGUACAAUGGGUAUCUACCCCGAAAGGGACGGGAAUCUCCUAAAACCAAUCUUAGUUCGGAUUGAGGGCUGCAACUCGCCCUC
rnacentral:rRNA from 1 species